UUAAGAGCUGUGCUAAGGUAGCGUAGUAAGUUGUCCUUUAAAUGGGGAAAGGAAUGAAUGGUUUGACGUGAGAAUUUCUGUCUCUAGUGGAAUAGAAAAAAUUUUCUUCUCGGUGAAAAGCCCGAGAUUAAAUUAAAAGACGAGAAGACCCUUUCGAGCUUGAUAAAGUGGAAAAGUUGUUUUUUACAGAAGUUUGGUUGGGGCAACUAAGGAGCAAACGAAGACUCCUUGAAGGUUUAUAGAUCCAAAAGUUUUGAAGAAAGAAAAAGCUACCGUAGGGAUAACAGCGUUAUCCUCUCUGAGAGAACAAAUUGAAGGGGGGGUUUGCGACCUCGAUGUUGAAUUAAGGUUUCCGUUUGGCGUAGAG
rnacentral:rRNA from 1 species